UCCCUGGUGGCCCAGCUGGUUAAGGCGUCCGACUGUUAAGACAAAAAAACUUGGCAAAUCGGGAGAUCGACAGUUCGAUCCUGUCUCGGGGAG
rnacentral:tRNA from 1 species